GGUGCUUGCAUCAUGAUUUACAUUUGAGUGAGUGGCGAACUGGUGAGUAACACGUGGGAAACCUGCCCAGAAGCGGGGGAUAACACCUGGAAACAGAUGCUAAUACCGCAUAACAACUUGGACCGCAUGGUCCGAGCUUGAAAGAUGGCUUCGGCUAUCACUUUUGGAUGGUCCCGCGGCGUAUUAGCUAGAUGGUGGGGUAACGGCUCACCAUGGCAAUGAUACGUAGCCGACCUGAGAGGGUAAUCGGCCACAUUGGGACUGAGACACGGCCCAAACUCCUACGGGAGGCAGCAGUAGGGAAUCUUCCACAAUGGACGAAAGUCUGAUGGAGCAACGCCGCGUGAGUGAAGAAGGGUUUCGGCUCGUAAAACUCUGUUGUUAAAGAAGAACAUAUCUGAGAGUAACUGUUCAGGUAUUGACGGUAUUUAACCAGAAAGCCACGGCUAACUACGUGCCAGCAGCCGCGGUAAUACGUAGGUGGCAAGCGUUGUCCGGAUUUAUUGGGCGUAAAGCGAGCGCAGGCGGUUUUUUAAGUCUGAUGUGAAAGCCUUCGGCUCAACCGAAGAAGUGCAUCGGAAACUGGGAAACUUGAGUGCAGAAGAGGACAGUGGAACUCCAUGUGUAGCGGUGAAAUGCGUAGAUAUAUGGAAGAACACCAGUGGCGAAGGCGGCUGUCUGGUCUGUAACUGACGCUGAGGCUCGAAAGUAUGGGUAGCAAACAGGAUUAGAUACCCUGGUAGUCCAUACCGUAAACGAUGAAUGCUAAGUGUUGGGAGGGUUUCCGCCCUUCAGUGCUGCAGCUAACGCAUUAAGCAUUCCGCCUGGGGGAGUACGGCCGCAAGGCUGAAACUCAAAGGAAUUGACGGGGGCCCGCACAAGCGGUGGAGCAUGU
rnacentral:rRNA from 1 species